UCCCAUGAAAUUGAUUGUUGCCUUGGACCACGGAAAAUGAGAUUCCAUCAUUUCAAUGGCAUGAAAUCCAUAUAAGUAAAUAUUUGUUCAUCCACCGCCAUAGCCAACUAUCCGAGUCCUUUGUCAAUUGGGAUUGCUCAUGUGGCAGUUUUUUUAAAAAAUAAAAAUUAAAAGAAAAUACUUUGCCGACAACCGACCAUGCAAACCAAGCCCAUAUAGGACUUUAAUUCGUGGUUCCUGACAUGCCCCUAAGUUCUAUAAAUAGCCCACCAUCUAUGAUUUAGAUUCCAAGUCGUGAGUUUUAAUUUUUCAAGAGUUUGGACGUUGUGCAAUUUGAAUGCAAGUCUAUUAAUUUGAGAAAGCAACUCCAUCACUCCAUCAAUCCUUGACAAUUAAGACCCACCGAUAUUAAGGAAACCAUAUUUUGGAUGCUAAGUUCGUGAAAACGAGGAAAAAAGGUAUUUUUGAUUACUUUUUGGAGAAAUUAUAGAUGUUCGGGAUACUUUUUGUCUUGAUCAUGAUCAAAGCAUAUUCGAGGAUCGAAGAAGAGCUGAAAAGAUAACUCUCGAUACUUACUAAGUCAACAUGUGGACUGCAAGUAGGACAUACAGACCGCAAGUAGGCAAAGAAAGUGCUAGAAGUCUAAAAUACUGAGAGCUAAACUUGUAAGAUUUUUUUCAUCCACUAUCUGUGCCCUGUACAUCUGCCCAAGGUCAGGACUACAGGUACUAUAUGCGCCUAGGGUCAAAGCACAGGUACUAACCAUAUGUGGCCAUCGACCUUAUUUUCUCAUAUUUUAUUUGGACUUUGAUUUUAGAGUUUCCUCAUGUACUAUAAAUACCCUUUAAGUGUUUAUUAGUAGGAGUUACGCACUUUUGAUGCUCACAAACAUAUUUUGAUUCCAAGAUUUGAU